UACGUAGGGGGCAAGCGUUGUCCGGAGUUAUUGGGCGUAAAGCGCGCGCAGGCGGCCUCGCGCGCCCGACGUGAAAGCCCCCGGCUUAACCGGGGAGGGUCGUUGGGGACGGCGGGGCUUGAGGGCGGGAGAGGGUGGUGGAAUUCCCGGUGUAGUGGUGAAAUGCGUAGAGAUCGGGAGGAACACCCGUGGCGAAGGCGGCCACCUGGGCCGACCCUGACGCUGAGGCGCGAAGGCGUGGGGAGCGAACGGG
rnacentral:rRNA from 1 species